AAAAAAUCACUCUCUAAGAACGAGGGGCUAGCCAGUCAUUGCCCACCGACUUCUCCGUCCCCACCUGGCCCCAGCCUGGUUGAUAACUGUCCAGAGAUGGACAACAAAGAUGAGAUUUUAAACAGUUCCCAGAAGGAAAACAUUUACUCGUGUGCACCUCUAGAGGAAGAGACCGCUUCAGAACAGAAGGUAAAGAGCAGUAAAAGGAUGGGAGAUGGAAGUCAGAAAGCUUCCGGUGGGGAGCCGGCCCUCACGCCUGCAUCCCCAGAGCAGGCCCCCACAUUACUGUCCUCAGACUUAACUCUUGUCAAUAACACGGAUUCCUCUUCGGGAGAUGCUCUCGAACAAGAAGGUGCUGGA
rnacentral:lncRNA from 1 species